rnacentral:lncRNA from 1 species
CUGAGUUCUUUUCUCCUCCCAUAUAGACUUGCCUAUCUAUAUAUGGCCUUAAUUUCUAGACUAACAAGUAGUUUUUUAUUCUGCCUCAUUUACCGAAUGAGCAUUCCCUUGUUACCUUGCCCGAGGUCAUGCAUGAGUUCCCAGAAAAUUGAAAGUUAGUCUGCAUUCCCUGGUCACAUCCUACCCAACAAAGCAGUUUCACUGCAGCAUAGAAUCCCCUGGUGCAUAAUUG